AGUGAACGCUGGCGGUAGGCCUAACACAUGCAAGUCGAACGGCAGCACAGUAAGAGCUUGCUCUUACGGGUGGCGAGUGGCGGACGGGUGAGGAAUACAUCGGAAUCUACUUUUUCGGGGGGGAUAACGUAGGGAAACUUACGCUAAUACCGCAUACGACCUACGGGUUAAAGCAGGGGAUCUUCGGACCUUGCGCGAUUGAAUGAGCCGAUGUCGGAUUAGCUAGUUGGCGGGGUAAAGGCCCACCAAGGCGACGAUCCGUAGCUGGUCUGAGAGGAUGAUCAGCCACACUGGAACUGAGACACGGUCCAGACUCCUACGGGAGGCAGCAGUGGGGAAUAUUGGACAAUGGGCGCAAGCCUGAUCCAGCCAUACCGCGUGAGUGAAGAAGGCCUUCGGGUUGUAAAGCCCUUUUGUUGGGAAAGAAAAGCAGCAGGUUAAUACCUCGCUGUUCUGACGGUACCUAAAGAAUAAGCACCGGCUAACUUCGUG
rnacentral:rRNA from 1 species